GAUGAACGCUAGCGGCAGGCUUAAUACAUGCAAGUCGAGGGGCAGCAUGGUGUAGCAAUACACUGAUGGCGACCGGCAAACGGGUGCGGAACACGUACGCAACCUUCCUUCAAGUGAGGAAUAGCCCAGGGAAACUUGGAUUAAUACCUCGUAACAUUGUGAAGUGGCAUCACUUUAUAAUUAUAGCUCAGGCGCUUGAAGAUGGGCGUGCGACUGAUUAGGUAGUUGGCGGAGUAACAGCCCACCAAGCCUGCGAUCAGUAACUGGUGUGAGAGCA
rnacentral:rRNA from 1 species